rnacentral:rRNA from 1 species
GUUAGUUCUGUGUUGUUACGGUGUUUAGAAAAGUACAGAUUUCUUAAAAGGCACUGAUAGGCGCCGGUGCGCCGGCCUAAAUUUGGGCCGGUCGCACGGCAGCCGCACGAUUAGCGCGUCAUCGACCGUCUAUCUUGCCAGCUGGCCCACGCCCUUCGUUGACUUCGUCUUUCACCACCGCGAUCCCUCUCUGCGAGUAGUUUCCUGCCCCGCCGACCACCCCGCCGGCUGCAAACCUCGAAGCAGGUCGCGCCUCACGCGACCCCUCCCCCCGCAGCGCAGUUAGGCGCCUCCCCCUCGUCGCCGGUCGUCGCCCGGCUCCAGCGGGACGCCGUCGCUCCCUCCCCCCAGCGUCCGCCGUCGACAAUGGGGAGGACGGCGUGGUUCGCAUCCAAAACAAUGGUUGUAGCAAAAAAAUGCGCUGCUUCCAGCAAACUUAAAAACGCUCGUAUCAAAAAUUGGAAAAAUGAACGUUGUUGAAGCAAAAAUCAAAGAUGCCGGUUGUAGAAAAAAUAAAGCUCGUUCCAGCAAAUCUAAAGGCAUGUGGUAGCAAAAAUGCAAAAUUUUGGCGUUGUACCAACAAAACCAAAUAAAACGAUGGUAGCAAAAAAUGUUGAUUGUUCCAGCAAAAAAAUAUUAUGAUGGUAGCAAAAAGAGUAAAUUGGGCAUGAUUCCAACAAAACCAAAAAAAAUGAUGGUAGCAAAAAAUGUUGAUGGUUCCAGCAAAUACAUAUUACGGUGGUAGCAAAAAACUGAAAAUUGGACGAUGAUGGUUCCAUCAAAUCAAAACGCCUGUAGUAGCACAAUUAGGCGCUGGUUCGAACAUCUUGUCGUCGUGGUUGUAGCACUUGUCGGGGCACGGCCAUCCACCCCGUUGCUUGCCCGUGGUCGUGGUCACCCACCCGUCGCAACUCCUCUGUCCACCGGUUGUAGCUCCCAGCGAGACCGGUUGCAGCUGUUCCCGUCCACCAGAUGCAGAUCCCCGGCGUGCUUCCUCCUCCGCCCAGCGCCGACCCGUGGUCCAUCACACGGGGGCGUCGGGGGGCAGGAAGGGAAGGGCCGACGAGCAGAGGUGAAGAGAGAUGAAGAGAGGAGCAGGGGAUGCCUCGCCGGUGGGGGCCUCGCCGGAGAAACCGCGGCGCUGGUCGAAGCCAGGCGCAUGGAUGGAGAGAGGCGAGUGGGUAUGGAUAUGUGCGAGAGAUGCUGAGGAGAGAGGCG